ensembl:lncRNA
UAAAAGGCUGUUUUUCUUCAGCCUGAAGUUCUGGUAGCUUGACUAAAAACAAGGACUGCUGUGCAGUUAUGACCUUGAGCUGGUGACUGUUCAACUACAAAGCUAAGGUGCUGCUUGUGAGGAAGUAUCUGUACCUAUGAAAAAAGGCUCUGCUACUCCAGUUUCAUCCUACAGACCCUGAGUGCCUUUAACUAUUCUUUUUCAACAGCUGUAAGAAGUUAUGAUGCAAAAGGUAUUGUGAACAUUUCUUUAAAGAUUGGCACAACAAUCCAUCUCUUAAGGGUCCUGUAUUGUAUGAACACCUUUAAGUAUUCCACCAUCAAGCAAACACAUAAAACUAUGUAUCAUGGUAUUUCUAGCUGACAGUUGUUGCAUGCCUUCCUGUUUUUAAUGCAUUUAAGGACUCUUGCUGAGACAAGUGGGGAGUUAUGAGUUGAGCUGAGUUUAAGGGGUCUGCGAUCAGGAGGCAGAUUGAGCCACAGCAGUGCCUAGAUACUGUGAUGUUUUUUCUCACUUUCUUUCACUCAUAGAAUAAGUAUUUAGGAAUGAGUAUACCCUGAUGGACAAUAUUUGGGAAUAUGUACUGCUGAUGGAUGUAAGUCUACUUGUUCACUUGGUUAAAAUAUAUAUCUUCUAUCUGUGUAUAAACACAAGGUAACUUUGGAGCUUUCAGUAGAAUUACUCCAGAGGAGCCUCACUCCAAAUCCUGUCACAUCCCUAGAUACUUCUUAAGGUUGUCCUAGAUCUUGUCUCCUAACCAGUCCAGGGACUUGCUGCUAUGCCCAUCUGACCAUGCAUUAGGUUUCUGUGGACAGAAGCCCGUGGAAGUAAAAGGCUGACCUCAGCAUGGAGUUAAGAUGCAGUCAAGACCAAGGAGCCCAGAAGAACUCAAACAUCUCCUAGUUUACGUAUAGGCGAGGUCCCCUGUGCAGAUGGCAGGUAAAGAGAGGAAAUCUGUAGGUCAUAAAUCUGUAUUUACUUGACUGAAUAAAUAACCCCAUUGUUGGAGAUUUAAAAACAAACAAAAUCCCAACAACUGUAUCUUCACAUUAGAGAAACAAGCAUUAUUUUAUGGGACGUCCAUAAGUAAGCGAGGUGCCUUCGGGUACUUGGCUUGGGCAUGCAGUGUGAUUGACUGUUUGGCCCAGAGACGUUUGGUCUGGUUUUUAACCAUGAAGAAAUUACUUCUAGUAACAUUUCCCAAACAGUACUAAUGCCAGUAGUACAUACUUCUUAGCUGAUAUGUUGAAAGAAAUUAACACAACAUUUCCAUUCUUGAGUUAUUGAAGUCACCGAGUUAUUAAAGCACAGAAAAUACCUGAAACUGAAACCAGAAAAGUGAGAUUUUUCCACACUUAAAAAAAACAAGACUGCCCAUGAACAGAACCUUUCAUACCAAAACACACUCCCACAGCUUCUGAAACUAUAAAAGAAACAAAAGAAGAGGAAAAGAAAGGGAAUUUUACUGUAACUGGGAGCAAUGGCAGAUUUUUAAGAGUAAGGAAUAAGUAUGGAUGCUGACAGUGGUUCUUAAUGUCUGAGGAUGAGUUUUUGUUUAGGCAUGAAUAACUGAAGAUGCAGGAGAAAUUCUCUUAAUGGGAGGAGAAGUAAUGCUGGAGAAGCGGUCUGAAUUUAUUUCACGCAAUACUUUUUUAAUAACAGUGUCGAUUAAAGACACCUGCUGAAGGUCUGUAAUGCUGGUUUACUGGGGAGAAAAAAUAACAAAGUUCUUUAGCCAUCCUGUCUUCGGUUCAAUAUUAUGGACUGUUAAAAGGGGGUUUAUGUGUGCAGUGUUAUUAACCGAGAUUCUGCUCAAAUUGAAGUCAGGCCCACAAACCUUGCUUUCUAUAGGACCUUGCUAGGUUUCUAAAAGAAGAAUUUAAAACUGUACAAGAUAAUUAGUACAUUCUUGCUUUAUUUAGGAUAUUUUAAAGGCAGUCAGUCUUGGUAGAUAUGUUUCUGAACACUUGUGCUCUCUCUUAUCACAUGUGAUUUCUUUCUAGUGAGGUUAAAGUGCAACAAAAAUGGACCAAUGUCCUGUACGAAGUCAUUACUAUUACUAGAGAGAAGAAGAAAAUCCACCUCCAAAGUGACCAAAGUAUAACUUGUAAUAGAGCACCCAAUAUUUUCUGCUGGCUUUGUCAAGGCUAGAAGAUAUGGGCUCAGUUAUGAGACACGUUGCGGCAGAUGGCGAUGGGUACGGAACCCCAAAGACUGUGGCCUGGAAAAGAAAUUGAAGUCUGAGUUUAUAGCGAGCGCAAUGUUGUCUAACUGUGUUUAAUAUCGCCAUUUGUUUAAGCUUAAAUUAUGACGAUGAAGAUAAAGUAAUAACACACUGCGUUUUCAUCACUUGAGUUUGGAGAGGCCUCGUCUUUUUCCGUGCCUGUAGCCCUGAUGAUGAUUCCUUUGGCAGCUCUGCCGGCGAUAAGAGGAAUAACUCACCGCUGUCAGGGAAGCUGGCUGUUUCAUCACUGACAUGAGAGCCCGGCGUAACUCCGUGGUGAUCGCUGUCUAAAUGACUUAUUUUAGGAGGUGUUCCUUCAUGGAAAAGUGGGACGUGUGGUCUUCCUCAGUGUCCAGAAACAGACUGCUGUGCUGCACAGAAUCAAAAAACUAACAGAAUUUGUGGCAACAGGUGAAGCAGGGUUUCAGCUCCACCCUUCCCCACACGCAGGGAGUGCUUCAGAUGGAAAGCAGCCUGCUGCGUACCCCUGUGAGCAGUACUGGGAGCACCCCCUGUGGGUGUGGACACACCGUGCAUUCUGAGAGCAAAAUCUGCCAAUCAGGGCCAAUCACAUGAGUGAUUCUGCGGAGGCUGAAGCAGGAUUGCCGAACUCAUUGUCAUGCGUGGCUAAACAGAGAAUUGAACCUUGUGAAAGGUUAGUGAUUUUAGAUAAUUUUAAAACGAUUGCACAGGAGGUGAUACAGCUGCUGUCAGUCUACCCUAAUCCUGUUCUCCGCUGGAUCUGCCCUUGCAGAGGCACUGCUUUCUCUCAGUGAUUAAGGGGAGACAUUGCUUUCAGAGGUGCUGAUUCAGCAGAGCAAAGAGUCAGUAAAUUAGCAAUGACUGUAAGGGAAUUUUAAAUAUUGGUAGAGUACCAAACUUCUACUGUUAUAGUGUCUUGGAGAAGAAAUUCUAAUUAAGUUACUCUACCAGGCAGUGUGGGAGAGAUGACAGUCACAAUACAGAAUAAUGGGGAAACUGUAUAUCCGGGUUUUGGGUUCUCAGUGUCACUGCUACAACGUGAUGCUAAAGGACCAUGAAAGAAUAACCAAGUGUAGCUGUAUAUGUUCUACUGGACUGUUUAUGUAGUCACAAAGUGAUACAGACUCUUGAUAUGUAAAUUAAAACAAAACAAAACAAAAAAACUGUCAUGACAGAAUGCAACAUCCUACAUACUAUCAUUUGCAUGUCUUGAAAAUACAAAUUGUUUGGUUAGUGAGACAAGUAACUCUACCCCUAAACUUAAAUAGUGAUCAGUCAGUGUGCUGACCUUGAAGCAAUACGCCAGUUACUGUGAAAAAAUAGUGGAGACGCAAUGACAGUGUAGAUCACUAUGCAAAGUGACCAUACUAACAGGUUAUCUUCCUGUGGAUGAGACAUGCAAAAGUAAAACACUUUUUUACCUGACUUAUGUAUGGGUAACAAACUGAUAGAAGAAAUGUGAGUCAGCAAGCAUAGAUAGGUGAAGUGGGAAGGAAGGGAAUGACUGUACGUCUCGUAGGACAAAGAAGAAGUAAACAAAAAAACUGCACAUGAUAUUUUUCCAUGUUAUGCCCUGGAAAAGUUAAAAAUGCUGUUAUCAUUUUCUAUUUAGAGGUGUUUUUACUAGGCUGUGUAUUUAUGCAAAGAGAGUGCUUUGGUAUUCUUGGUCAGAAGUGCUAGAUUUCUGUAGGAUAUUUACCACAUAAAUCAUGGCAACAACAGGUUUUGUGUCUGCAUUACUUUACUCGAUCAGAGAACUUUGCUGAGAUAAGAAAUGUAAACCAGGCUGAAGCAACUUAGAAGUUAUCUUAAAAUAUCUAUUGCAUGAAAAUUGUGCCGUUAUAUUGCCACAACACAAGUAUUUGUUAUAUUUAGACAAGGUAUGGACUGAAAAUGGGGACGUAAACACCCCAUGUGAGCACAUUUACUAUCAGAAAAUCAACUGUAAUUACAAUAGCAUGAUUUGUAAGCAAUACUUUCAAUAGUCUGCAGAGUUACUUGUUCCUGGUAGGCAAAGAUAACUGUAGAGGUAGCAGAGUGAAAUGAAGAAUCAUAGGUACUACCUUUUCUUUGUUACUUCAUUGUUCCAUGGCUCAUGUUUUCUCAACAGUAAUAAUGCUUAGAAGGGUUUGAUAGCUGCAAGCAAUAAAUACUAGUUAUCUUCAGUGUCUGUUUCUGGCAAACUCUGAAACAAGGUCAAGGAAGAACCAGAAAUUCUUUUGUAGUUGCUUCCUAUUUUACCAGCUACAUCUGUUACAUAUUUCAAUUUGCACUGUUAUAUAUAAUGAAUACAUACCUAUACACAUGUAGGUACGUAUAUAUACGUGUAUAUAUCUUGCUGAACUUUAAGGCUGCUUUUCAGGAAUGGCUGCAACAGUCUUGGGUUCAAUAUUUUUGAAGAGCUGUAGAGGCCAAAAUAUCCACCACUAUUGUAUUCAUUUCAAUAUGACAAAACUUACUAAGAAGAAACAAAGAGUGACAUCCAAGACAUCUGUGAUCAUGGAAACUACAGAUUUCCAAGCAGGAAGCACAGUGCUUAUGUGCAUCAUUUAUUGGACGUUCCUGAGAGUAAACUGGAGCGGUCACGGCUGAUCAGCAAAGAGAGGCUUUCAGAAAGAAGAGUCAUUCUAAAACAUGAAAAGAUACCUAAAUGUUGAAAAGUGAAAGGACCAUAAGCACCGACAGGUGUAGUAUUAAAGAUAUUAUUGGGCAGAGCACAGGUGAGACUGAAACCUAACUUAACAAGAGAAUCCUUCUUCCCACACAUCAGGAAGGGAAAACAUUGUCAGUGAGUCUGCAUAUGAAAAGGGUAUAAAGUGAACCCUCAGGGAGGACAAAGUCACUGGAAAAAACCUGAACUCUUUGUCUCCUUGUUCUCUGUGGAAUAAAUUGGGGAAAUUCUCCCACCAGGGCCCUUUUCAGGCAUUCAGGGAACUCCACAGAGUAUUACUUGUGAAUUGUAUCUGAAAAAUGAUACAAAAGAGAUGACUCUCUAGGAUUUGAAGAAUUCGUCAAGAGUUCUAGGAGAACUCAGGGAUGAAAUAUCUAACAGCAGCACGUAACCUGUCACUUCAUUGUUCCUCUGUAUGUGAAAAUCAGAAGGUGUCAAAUGAGAUGUCAGUCAUGAAGAAAGGCUCCAGAGGUAGCCAGCAAAAUAAAAUUAGACAUCUGUUCUGGGUGAACAAGUAGAUAUUGUAACAAGCAAUCAAAUUAGUAUCUACCUGAAUAAAUAUGAUCUAAUUAGUGAGAGUUAACAAAGCACUUGGAUUUGUUUGAAGAGGUCAUUGACGUGUAGAUGAAAACCAUCUAACUGAUGCGGUCAACUUGGAUUUCCAAGAGGCUUUUGACAGAACUUAUCAAAGUGUUUCAGGAAAACCAAGCAACAUAAGACUGUUGCUGGCAUAAGAAGGAAAGCCUUGAAAUGUGAUUUGAAAGACUUGAACUCUAGAUAGACCACCACUGGAUUUAAGUGCACAUUCAUUUUUUUACACAGGAAAAUCAAUAGUGAAAUUCCAUACGGUGUCUUUGUUGGGACCUGUACCAUGAUAGUCUUAAAUCAUAGACUCAUAAAAUAGUUUGGGUUAGAAGGGACCUUAAACACCAUCUAAUUUCAUCCCCCGUGCCAUGGUCAGGAAUAGCUCCCACUAGACCAGAUUUCCCAAAGCCUCAUCCAGCCUGGCCUUGGCCACUAGCACAGAUGGGGCAUCCACAGCUUCUGUGGGCAACCUAUUCCGGUGCUCCACCAUCCUUGCUGUGAAGAAUUUCUUUACGUCUAAUCUAAACCUACUCUGUGGUUUACAACCUUUCAGUUUAAAACCGUUACCCCUUGUCUUAUCAAUGACCUGGAGGAGGGAAGUGAUUAGUGAGGUGGCGAAGCUUUGCUGAUGAUAGGAGGUUAUACAAGAGUCUAAGGACAGAGGCAGACUGUGCAAGAUGUUGUAAGGCUGUACACUAAAAUGAUGGGUGCAUCUCAGUGUAGAUAAAGGUAGGCAGAGUAGUACAGUCAGGGAAGGUUAAUCCUAUCUUCACUUCUUGGGCCAUUUCAGAGUUGGCCCAAAGGUCUUCAGGAACAUUUCGGUUACAGUAGACAGUUUCAUGAAAAUACUGGCUUAGUAGAGAAAGAAGGAAAAAGUUAUAGGUUAGGAUUUAUUAUUAAGCAAGUAGAGAACAAAAUGGAAAGGAUAAUUAUGUUGCUGUUGAAGUCCAUAUACCACUGUAAAAAUCCAAGGUUUGCAUGCUUGAAUACAGCAUGCAGUUCUAUCUUGGAAAAGGCAUGCUGGAACUAAUAAAUAUUCUUGGGAUAGCAGCGAUGAUUGGUCACAUACUGUGACUUCCAUACAGCAUACAAGGAACUUCAUACAUGGAAUAGUCGAAACUCUGGAAAGAUAUGACUGGGGAAAUGUAAGAAGGUAUCUGCAGAACUGAGAGGCCUGCAGAGCAGAGGAGUGGGCUUGGCUUUUUGCCUUCUCUCCUAAUACAAGAAUGAAGUAUACCGAAAGAAGCUGGUAAGGGUUUUAUCCAGAACAAACUGAAGGAACUAUUUCUUCAGGCAACCUGUGUGGACUAGUGGUGGUAUUCUUCAAAGAACUUUCUGGAUCAAGGAGUUUACGGGGACGCAAGGGGUAAAUCCUUGGAAGAGAUGCUGUAGAGUGGACUAACUAGAUAAUCGCAUCACCUAACCUGAAAAUGGAUGAAGGCUGGGAGGCCGUGAGCGUGUUUACCCUGUCCUUGCUUUUGCUCUCAGAGUUCUGUGAUAGAUGGACCCAUGGUCCGAUCCAACACUGAAGUUUGUACGUAACCUUCUUACACCAAAGCCAGGGUUAAAUAAAUGAAGUUACUAACUGCUUAAAUACAUUUGUAUCUUUCAAGCUCCCUAAGUAAUCAUAAUGUUACUGCAAGUUAGGACUGGAAGGGACCUUAAGGAGUGAACUAAUCCAUCCCCCUUCCAUGGUAAGCAAAAUCAAUUAUGUUCGUGUCUUUACAGACAAAUUUGUCUAUCCUGUUCCUACAGCUUUCAGUGAUGGAGACUCAGCAGCCUCCGUAAGCAAUCUCUUUAAACUCUCACUAUUCAUACUAUGAGAAGGAUUUUUUUUUCCCUGUCUAACUGGAAUCUAAUCAGCCGUUGUUUGCUGUAAACCAUUAGUUAACUGCAAGUCUGAGCUAAGAUGAGAGGCGUCCUAGACUUCUGAUGAAUGUUGUCUGGUGACUUCAGUGACUCUGGAAAUAGCCUGGAAGCGGGGUUGGUUUUCAGUGGAGCUAGUAGUUUAUUGUACUUUGGUUAAUAUGACCAAGCAUAAACAGGAUCCUUUUAGGGAUUUUCAGGUUAUUUUAAUGUCUUAUCUCUUUAGCAUUUUUUGGCCUCGGGGAAUCAGAAAGCAUGCUUCCUAAACACACGGUGCUUUGACUUCACUUCAGAAAAGGCAAGUUGGAAGGGGUGUCUUCAGAAAGAGCGGGACAAAAAGUGUGUGGGUUUUUUUUAAAGAUGACUGAAAACCAGCACGUAGUAUUUUAUUUCUUUUUCUGCUUCUUUUUUGUUUGCUGUAGCAUAUAAUUGCUGCUGUUGCCAAUAAAUUUACUGAACUAUGUGCGCUUGAGAUUAUAUGUCUGAACUGUCUUAAGUGAUUUUACUCAUUUCACUUAAGCUCUUCUUCUUGCCAGUGAUGGCUAAUUCUGUUCCUCAUUUUCGAGGUACCUGACUUGAAAAGGGGCUUUUGAUUAACAGAAAUGUUAGGCACCUGUGAAUCCUGCUGAAUUGAUGUGGGCUGAUCUCAUGAUGCGUGGUGUACUUUAAGUUGUCUAAAAUACAACUUGAAAAAAAAGAAUCAGCUCAAAUUAGGCAUUUUAGCAAAAGAUUUAAG